ACGUAGGGUGCAAGCGUUAAUCGGAAUUACUGGGCGUAAAGCGUGCGCAGGCGGUUCGUUGUGUCGGCGGUGAAAGCCCCGGGCUCAACCUGGGAAUGGCCGUUGAAACUGGCGAACUGGAGUGUGGCAGAGGGGGGUGGAAUUCCGCGUGUAGCAGCGAAAUGCGUAGAGAUGCGGAGGAACACCGAUGGCGAAGGCAGCCCCCUGGGUCAAAACUGAUGCUCAUGCACGAAAGCGUGGGGAGCAAACAGGA
rnacentral:rRNA from 1 species